CCUACGGGGGACAGCAGUGGGGGAUAUUGCACAAUGGGGGAAACCCUGAUGCAGCGACGCCGCGUGUGGGAAGACGGUCUUCUGGAUUGUAAACCACUGUCCCCAGGGACGAAAAUGACGGUACCUGGGGAGGAAGCUCCGGCUAACUACGUGCCAGCAGCCGCGGUAAUACGUAGGGAGCAAGCGUUGUCCGGAAUUACUGGGUGUAAAGGGAGCGUAGGCGGGGAUGCAAGUUGGGUGUCAAAACUACCGGCUCAACCGAUAGUCGCACUCAAAACUGCAACUCUUGAGUGAAGUAGAGGCAGGCGGAAUUCCUAGUGUAGCGGUGAAAUGCGUAGAUAUUAGGAGGAACACCAGUGGCGAAGGCGGCCUGCUGGGCUUUUACUGACGCUGAGGCUCGAAAGUGUGGGGAGCAAACAGGAUUAGAUACCCGUGUAGUC
rnacentral:rRNA from 1 species